AAGGACAAAACUACUUAAAUUAGAAUGCAUGCACCCUCAUUAAAGUCUUUUAUCUCGUUUCUCGAUUUUCACAUAUUUUUGAUUAUUCGGCGGCCGCCAAAGACGUCGCUUGAGACUCCGGUCGGCCGCUUACGCCCAUAAUUCCUCCGUUGGCUUCUCGUAAAUCCCUCCAUGAUGUCGAAUUAAAAUCCCAAAAAUUAUAAAAGUGCACAAUUAAAUUAUCGCAACCAUUUCCCCUCGAAAAUAUAUUUAUUUCGGACUUAGGAUAAAAUUAUUCAUCCUUUGAAAUAUUCCGGGAUUAUUUAAAUAAUUCAUCACAAUUAAUUAUCGACCCAAAACUUAAUAAGAAGCCCCAAAGCUUAAUUAUUUCCCCACUUUAUAUCUCUAAUUAAAAGUUUAAAGCCCAAAAUAAAAUAAAUGGAGUCCAACAAAUCAUCCACUUUAAUUUAAUGAGGCAAUUCUUUUAAAACCAAAGGCCCAACAUCUAAUUUGAGCCCAUUUCAAUAACUAAACUAGUCCAUUUACUCCCCCUUCCACCACACGUAUCAUCUACUCUCUCUCACCUAAAUUACUAUUCAUAUUCUUCCCCAAAUUUCACAAAAUGCACAACCUAUUUCUCUCCUCUCUCUCGCGUCGCCGAUCCGCCGCCCUUCCAGCGGCGGCGCCCCCUUCUUUCUCCAUUUUCUCUCUCCCUCUCGGUCAGAUUUGCCGCACCGCCGCAACCGCUGCGGGCACGACGACGCACCACCACCACCACCGUGCGCAGCACAGUCUCCGCUGUCAUCUCCAGAUUUUCCCGUCGUUCAGACCAGCCGCCGUCGUCACGAAUCCUCCGUCGCGGAUCCGCCGUCGUCGGCUACUUCCUCCAUCAUCUUCUCCUCUCCAUUCCUCUCUCUCGGCUCCCCCCUCUCUUCUCUCUCGGAUCUGCCGCCAUUACGCCGACUUCCGAGAGGAGGAAACUCGGUUCAAGCUCGUGGUGUCCGCGUUAAAGUACCCGCUUUCUUAAAACAUACAUUGUAUAAAUUAAACUUUGUUGGAUGUAUCGGACAUUAAAAUUCUGAUUAUGGGACUUUAUUUAUUUAUUUAAAUUUAUUAUAUUCAUAUAGAUAUUACA